UACGUAGGGAGCAAGCGUUGUCCGGAAUCAUUGGGCGUAAAGCGCGCGUAGGCGGCCUUGUAAGUCCGUUGUGAAAGUCAAAGGCUCAACCUUUGAAAGCCGAUGGAUACUGCGAGGCUAGAGUCCGGAAGAGGCGAGUGGAAUUCCUGGUGUAGCGGUGGAAUGCGCAGAUAUCAGGAAGAACACCCGUGGCGAAGGCGGUUCUCUGGGACGGUACUGACGCUGAGACGCGAAAGCGUGGGGAGCGAACAGG
rnacentral:rRNA from 1 species